rnacentral:lncRNA from 1 species
ACUCCCGCAUGCCCCGCAUCCAUCACACGCCCGCCUGCUGCCGCUGGGUCGCAGACGGGCAGGGAGGCCGGCUCAGUGGGGGCAGCCGCGCUCUCCUGCCCCCCGACCUGCCCCUCUCUGGGGGCGUCUGGGUUCAGCCGCCCAGCAGACGCAAGGUGGGCUCACAUCUCUGUCCCAGCUUUCAGCCAAGCUUCCGGAGGGUCCCAUUUGGACGAGCAAACGUUUCUUGGGAAAAAGGCCCAGGCUGGGUGACGCCAGGAGGGGCUCUAGAGCUGGAGCCUGGAGAGGGGGCCACGGGUGCAUCCAGGUGGCAUCCAGGCACCCCUGUCACAGGCUGUCCGGGACCCCACAGCAGCCCCCAGCCUCCAUGGCCCCGGGCCCAUGGCUCUGACUCCAGGACCCCAGUGUCUGACCUGGGCAGGCUCAGGAAAAGAAACAAAAGACAAACGUGAAGAAAUCCUGGGGAGGAAUGAAGGUGGGAACUGUCCUCUGUGAGCGACCUCCGAUCUCGAAACCUGAGCCAGCUAACCCGUCACUGGUGCGAGGGGCUGAGCAGCCACCUGCCCUGCCACCCACCAGCCUCCCUGCUGGCCCUGGAGGAGGUGGGCUCUGGACCAGCCUGGUCAACCCCCGAGGCUGGCACGCGGUUGGGCACUCUCCCUUGGAACGGACACCAAGCAGCGACAGUUCCCGGGUGUGAGUUAGCUCUCGGGGGAUGCCCGCCAGCCAGUUGACUUGGAGCCUCAAGAUGUGGGGUUUUGGCCCCACUCACCCCCCAACACACCUCCGGGCCUCAAUGUCCCCUUCUUUAAAUGGAGAAGGCUGGUCUCGGUGACCUGGAAGAUACCUGCCGGUCCCACAUGAAAUCCUGUGACCCUAAGGAAGGUGGGCGGGCAGGGAGAUACCCCUGGUUGCCCCAGGAAGUCAUACCUGAGUGGCUUUUAGAUCAUAGGGGUCAACCUUUCUGUCCCCUUUGAAGUAUUUAUCGAGCUCGUGUUUGCGGAGGGCUGACCGCGGGCCAGGAGUUGUCCACGCACUUCUCAGCACUGUCUCACUUAAUGUUCCACAGACCUACCGGGCCCUUGUAUUGUCUCCAGUUUAUAGCUGUGGGAACCCAGGCACAGAGAGGUUAGGCUGUCUGCUUGAGGUCACACAGCUGUCAGCACGCUCCUGCCUGAUCUCCAACCCGGGGCUCCCAGGGAGCUGCAAAGUGCUCCUUUAAGCUUUGGGGCGGGGGGGGUCUCACUGUCAGGAACCGGGGCAGCCUAUCUUAACAUGCAGGCCAGAAGACCUCCCAGAAUCUCAUGAGCCCACCAAGGCCUCCCACAAAACUCCGUGGACACCCAAAACCUAAUGAUAUUUGUAGAAAUCCUUUCCAAAGCAGCUGUUCAAAUAAGGCGCCUCGUUAGUCAAGAAGCUGGCGUGGUCGGGGAACACACAACAGCUGGGUUC